rnacentral:rRNA from 1 species
CAGUCGCCACGGGAAUACAGAGGGUGCAAGCGUUAAUCGGAAUUACUGGGCGUAAAGCGCGCGUAGGUGGUUUGUUAAGUUGGAUGUGAAAGCCCCGGGCUCAACCUGGGAACUGCAUCCAAAACUGGCAAGCUAGAGUACGGUAGAGGGUUGUGGAAUUUCCUGUGUAGCGGUGAAAUGCGUAGAUAUAGGAAGGAACACCAGUGGCGAAGGCGACCACCUGGACUGAUACUGACACUGAGGUGCGAAAGCGUGGGGAGCAAACAGGAUUAGAUACCCGUGUAGUCCCUGUCUCUUAUAC